rnacentral:lncRNA from 1 species
CAUUCAUUUUGGUUGAUGUUGAGGAUAGUCAUCGGCAGUAGACCUACAUCUUCUGGACCAAUUAGCAUACCAACAGUGAUUAGGCUAAGGUGGUGAUCCAAUUCCAUGGAUGAGCAGCAAGGAAGGAGGAACGUUGGAGAGAUAGAACCAGUUGGCGGCCAACCAAGCAGGAACAGUGGCCAAACUGGCCUCGAGCCUGAGGAGCAUAGGAUUGACAUUGUUGAAAUCAGUCAUAGGGAUUGGAUUGAGUCUCUCAGAACGGCAGAAGAAAGCACUCAAUGGCGAAGGAUACCAAAGGUUCCUCAGAAGCUGAGGGGGACCCAGGAUUUCAAGAAAUUCUACGAACCGAGGGUAAUUUCAAUCGGUCCUUACCACCAUGGCGAACCCAACCUUGGCCCAGUGGAAAUGAUCAAGCUUCCAUGUGCCCAAAAAUUCCUGGCUCAUAGUAACCAGGACAUUGAAGCUUUGUACACAAAAAUUCGAAGUAAAAUCGAGGCAGUGAAAAAGUGCUAUGAUUAGAGUAGUACAGAAAAGUAUGAUGAUGAGAAACUCGCCAGGAUGAUGCUUCUGGAUGGGUGUUUUGUACUACAAUUCAUCCGCUGGAAAGGUAUGAGAAAAUUUCUUAGAAAUCACCAAAUAAAUUUUGUGAUGCAGGACUUGUUCUUGCUGGAGAACCAACUUCCCUUUGGAGUCCUCAAGUUGAUUUUUGAGGGAGCAAAUUUCCAGGGUGGUCUACCAAUGGAAAAGAAUAUAAAAAAUUUCAUCACUUACUUCGGAAUGCCAGAAGGGUUGUCAUCAGAAAUACAGCUGUAAGAGGUGAACGAAGAGCCCUCUCAUCUACUCGACCUUUUGCAAAGUGCUCUCCUAGGCCAGAGUCAGCCCGAACAAGAGCAGCAACCUGAGAAAAAAGGAAAGUCGUCGUCGUCGUCUCAAGGAGGAAAGUGGGGGUUCUGUUGCCGAUGGAAAAAAAGCAUACAACGGGGCAUUUGGCAGUCUUUUCGACACAUCAAGGAGCUUAAAGCUGCCGGGAUCUAUCUCAAACCGAGUAGAACGUGUUUCUUGAGAGACAUUUCUUUCAAAUCCUACUUCUUCUUUGGCUACCUGAAACUUCCCCCAAUAACCAUUGAUGACUUCACGAAGACCAAGUUCUUGAACAUGGUAGCCUAUGAAAUGUGUCCAGAUGCCCCAGAUGACUAUGCGGUCACUUCUUACAUAUGCUUCCUUUACGACCUCAUUGAUCAUGCAGACGAUGUCAAGGAGCUGAGAUCUAAGCACAUUCUCCACAACCUUCUUGGCAGCGAUGACGAUGUGGCCCAAAUUUUCAACGAGAUCGGCAAUGACUUGGUAGAUCCCGAUGCUUAUAAAGAUGUAAAAGAUUGUAUUCAGAAGCACUACAAGAAGAGAGUGAAUACUUGGAUAGCUCAAGCCCUUCACAACCAUUUCAGGUCUCCAUGGACUGUCAUGGCUUUCAUUGCUGCUGUUUUGAUACUAUUUCAGGUCUCCAUGGAUUAAUUAUGACUGUGAUGUGUUUUUAUCCUGUUUGGUGUGUGUGAUUAGAGAAAUAAAGAUGUGUAGAUUGUUAAGUUGUAUCACUGGAUUUCAUGCAUGCAAUAUUAUGGGUCUUUUCCAGUUUUCCUCCCCACAUGAAUUUGCUAUACAAUCUCCAGCUUGCUUUUUUCUGUUCUUUUUCAUAGAGCAGGAUCAUAGAUAACACAACAUCAACAUAGAAAAUUUUCGGUCAACAGUAUGUGAUUCCGUGGAUGGGAUGGGAUUGAAUUUGCUCACACACUUUUUUAUCUAAGGAGAAAAUUGUGGAUAAAAUCAUAAUUUUGAUAUAUUUAUAAAUUGAGGAAGGGCUAUCUCUAAUUUAUUUUUAAUAUAAAAGAUAAAAUCAUAAUACAUAACUAAGAAAGGGGAGCGAAGACAUUUUUUAUUUCAUUGUUGAACUUGUUUCAAAAAAAAAAUCCACACACAGAGAUUGAGUUAGAAAUGAAGGUAGAGAAAAGAAUGAUAGAACUCGUUAAAAUUGUUUAUAUCUCAGGCACUAAAAUACAUCUUGUAUCACUUUUUAGGGUAAAAGUGUUUUUAAAGAGCAUUGCCAAUUGGAUUUUAAAUAAUCUAGAUUGUCACUUUUUUUUUUCAAUUAUAUAUAUUAUAUCAAAUAUUUCUAUUUUUUUUGUACAAAGUAAAUAAAUUAUUUAAUAUAUUCAAACAUUGUCAUUCAAUCAAUUGAUAUAAAUCUUUCUUUUAAAGUAAACAUGAUGUAAAUAAUUACGUAUAAUCAAGCAAUCAACUAUCGUUCUUAAUUUAUUUUCUUUGGUUAUUUCAUUUUUUUUUUUUUUUUUUUGCCCUUUUAUUCUCAUUUCUGUUUCAUAUAACAUUUUCUUUACUUUUCUUUCCAUAUAAAAUGAGUGUGAUAUAAUACUAUUGUCCAAUAAUAAUAUCUAAUAAUAUAAAACAAUUAUUUUAAAUAUAUAACAACAUUUAAAAUUUUAGACAAAUAAUUUUCGUUAUUUUCAAUAUUGAUGACACUAAUAAAUUUCAAUUUUAUCUUCAUACAAGCCAAAUAACUCUUAACACUUCACACAAUUUAUCUUUCAUUCACUUGAAUUGAAUUUUUCUCCAACAUCAUUUCCACUAAAAAUCAAUUAUUGCAAAAAAAUAAAAUAAAAUGACAACUAUACACGUAGAAUCCCUUACAAGUAGAAUCACUUGCAAAAAAACACCAUGAUAAGUAAAUCUAAAUCCAAAAAAUAAUAAUCACAAAUUUUUUUAUUAAAAUAUAUUUAUGGACCCCGCAUUUCGGCUUAUACGCCUCCACUCGACGGCGAGCUCGAUUUUUAUUUGAAAAUGACUUGGAGUCGCCACUCAUUUUUGUUUUAUUUUAAAAAGGGUAAGCGAAAUAAAAAAGAAAACCCUAAGUGUGACUCCUUAUUUUGGAAAAGAUGGUUUGUGAAAAACUGGAUCGGGCUUAGGGGUCAGGUUACUUAUCAGGAAGGUACGACAUAAACCGUAGCACCCCUCAAAGUCCCUAAAGUCGGGUCUCUACUAAUACAAUGAAACUGACGUAGCAAUCGACGAGAAAGUCAAUGGAUACUCACCUCAAACACGCACAAUAGGUGAAUCGGAACAUGAAUAGAGAAUGAUCAGAAUGAAAGUGUAUGCGUACCUGGGCCACGGACCAUAAUGCGCUAUCCAAAAAUGGGAUUAGCACACAAUUAAUGAAUACGGAAUAUGGCUCAUGCAUAUUGGAGUGCAAAUCGAAGAUCAAACGAAAUACACUAAGUACGACAGUUAUCAAUCAAAAGGGAUCAAACAUCGGGCCCCCACUAAAGCCCAAUUUAUUGUUCAUGAAUUAGUCUUACAAAUUCCGUGUUUAAAAUUAUGAAGACUUCACUUCUUGCUUAUGUAGAAUCAAGAAGAUCAGAAGAUUAUUUAAUAACCGAAAUGGAAUUAAAACUAUUCGAGUGAAAACUGGAUUCUUGGAGUUUAUUUGAAAAUUAGGAUCUCAAAAAUUACUUGGAAAUUGGAGCCUGGGGAACUGAAUUUAAGAAUGGGAAUUUUGGAAGUUAAGUUUCAAAAAUUGGAAUCCUGAAGAAUUAUUUAAAGAUUGAGUUUCAAAAAUAAACAAAUAAAUAAAAUAAUAAUGAUUAAAUAAAUCAAUAUGGGAAUUAAAUAUUUUGGAAAUUGGAAUCUAAAUUUAGAAAUCGGGAUUUUGAAGAAUUGUUUGAAGAUUGAAUUUUAAAAAUAAAUAAAUAAAUAAAAUAAUGAGGAUUUAAAUAAAUUGACAUGAGAAUUAAAAUUUCGGAAAUUGGAAUUUAAUUUAGAAGCCAGAAAAUUGGAACUGUUUUAAAGAAGGAAAUUUUGAAAUGGAUAGCUGGAAUAAUAAUAGUGAUGAUAAUAAUAAUUGUUUUGAAAGCUAAAUUUUAAAUAUUAAAACUUUGGUAAUUAGAUUGAAAUUCGUAUUUUUGACAAUUAACUCUGGAAGUUGAGAAUUUAAAAAUUAUUCCAAAAUGAAGACCUUGAUAAUGAGAUUUAAGAAAUGAACCCUAGGAAAUUAAACUGCGAGAAUAUGGAUUUUGAAAGUUGAAUUUGAAGAUUUAAGUAGUAGUAGUAAUAAUAAUAAUAAUAAUAACAAUAACAGUAAUAAUAAUAUUAAACUGCGAGAAUAUGGAUUUUGAAAGUUGAAUUUGAAGAUUUAAGUAAUAAUAAUAAUAAUAAUAAUAAUAAUAAUAAUAAUAAUAAUAAUAAUAACAACAACAAUAAUAAUAAUAAUAAUAUUAAACUGCGAGAAUAUGAAUUUUGAAAGUUGAAUUUGAAGAUUAAAAUAGUAAUAAUAAUAAUAAACUACGAGAAUAUAGAUUUUGAAAGUUGAAUUAGAAGAUUUAAGUAAUAAUAAUAAUAGUAAUAAUAAUAAUAUUGAACUUGAAUAUUUAAGUAAUAAUAAUAAUAGAAAUGGGCUUAAGACAAUGGCUAGAAAUGGGCUUAGGACAAUGGCUACUCAAAUUGAGCCCUUUAAUGGGCCUAGGGUGGGAAGAUUGAAUUUGAAGAUUUAAGUAAUAACAAUAGAAAUGGGCUUAGGACAAAAUGGGCUUAGGACAAUGGCUACGACUUGAGCCCUUUAAUGGGCCUAGGGUGGAAAAAUUGAAGAUUUAAGUAAUAACAAUAGAAAUGGGCUUAUGACAAUGGCUACAAAUUGAGCCCUUUAAUGGGCGGGAAAAUUGAAGUUGAAGAUUUAAGUAAUAAUAAUAGAAAUGGGCUUAGGACAAUGGCUACAAAUUGAGCCCUCUAAUGGGCUUAAGGUGGGAAGAUUAAAUCUCAAAGAAAGAUAGUGGGCCUUGGGCAUCUUGGUGGUGCAUGGAUUCUCUAUAUUGUAGCCAUAGUUUCAAGGUGAACAAGAGGGAACGACGGCACGAACCAGCUCCAGGGGUAUAACCGAAAGUGUAGAGAUGGCGCGGAGGUUGGGGCUUGAUGAACAGCAUGGGAUAGGUUGAUGGUGAUGAGCUUGUGGUACGAGAGAUAAGAUGAGCUUGGUGAUGGAAACGAGUGAGCAUGCAACUUGGAGAGGUGAGGAGAGUAGGAUAUGCGACUUGGAGCAUUAGUGGGUAUGAUUGUGGUGUAGAGAGGGAAGAGGUGGUGGGACGAAGUGCGCAUAAGAGAUUUGACACAAAGAGGCGAUAUGGGAAGAGUGGAGAUGGGUGGUAUGAAAAGUGAGUACAUGCGGAUAUGAGUGUGAAGAGGUUGGUGAGAAGCGGAGAUGUCCAUGCAUGCUUGAAAUGGGUGACAAAAUAAUGAUAUAAGGGGUAGUGGAAGGUGAUGACGGGAAGUGGGUUCAAUGAAACUGUUAGAGAGAGAAAGGGGUGCUAUUGGUAGUGAGAAGAGUGGAAGCACGAGCGUGAGUGAUGGUGAGUUUGAGUGGGUUUGGGUGAUGAUGUAGAUAUAGAAAGUGAAUAAAUAGAAGAGGUGGGUGAAGAAUAGGGCAUGAAACGUAUGAGGUGUGUAGAUGGUAUGAAAAGGUGGACAUGGUCUCCAUGGACUAUCAUGGCUUUCAUUUCAGCUGUUUUGUAGUCCACUUUCAAUCUCAUCACUUCAACACAAAUUGGGGCCAGCCAGGAGAGAGAUUUUUUGGUAGGAUGAGUUAUUGAAUAUAAAUUGGUGACGUGUCAGCAUCUUAGAGGGUCCAUGCAUGGUUUCAAUAUCAUUAUUUACGGUUCUUUUUAAUAAGAAUAAUGUUUAAACUUUGUACUCAUCCAAAAAGUAUUGAAUUAUUGGUACUAAACCGCACAUCCCAACAUUUUCCAUGAAAGGACAAUAAUUGCAUCUAAUUACAAAUAUAUCCUGGAAUCCAUCCCAUAUUUUUCUCGUGAACUAAUCUGUUUGGUUCGGAAACCACUGAAAAAAGAGAUGGAAAAUGCUAAAAAUAUAUUUUUUUAUAUUUGAUUUUGUUACAAAAAAAAAAAAAUUAACCAUGAAAGUCUGAAUAUAAUUAAAAUUAUUUAAAUUUUGUAUAUUUUUAAAAUUAUUAAUCCUUAUGUAAAAGAGUUAAAUACUUAAAAAUAAUAUUUAUCAUUGAUUUUAACUUUAAUUUUUUUUUCCUUUUACCUUUUCUCUCUAUUUUCUUUCCCUCACAAUUUCCUUCAAAAUAUUCCCUCAAUAACCUACUAAUUUAGUGUUUGUUGUUAUACUUUUUUUUUUUUUUAAACUUAAAUUUAAAUAAAAUUUAAUUUAACUUAAUUAUAAUAAAAGAAAAGGAUCAUACCACUUUUUUUUUUUUUUUUUUUUUUUUUUUUUUUUAUGGAUGUCAAGAUGGAUUUAAGAUACAUUUAUAAUAAGAUGAAAUUAUAGUCUGUUGAUGGAAAAUAUCAUUAUAAAAAAUGUCAUUUGAUCAGUGUGACCCUCUCGUAAUUGAUAACAAAUUCAAUUAUUGUCUGUCGAUGGAAACUGAAUUUCCAACCACACAAAAUUAAAUUCAUAUAAACAAUGACUUUUCUUGUUUCAAUUAUUUAUAUUAUAUCAAAUAUUUCUAAUUUUUUUGUAUAAAUAAAUUAUUUUAUUCUCUAAUUAUAGAUUCAAACAUACAAUGUCAUCCAAUCAAUAGAUACAUAAAUCUUUUUUUCAAAUAUAAACAUAAUGCAAAUAUAUACACACAAUCAAGUGGUGCGAUAUCGUUCCUAAGUUUUUACUGAAGAAUACACGUUUAUACCUAAAUACACUUCUCAUUUGGAGUGUUCUCGGGGUAAGUUUUUGUAAUUUAUAUAAGAGAUCUCACUUAUUUCUCAAUUCGCCCUCUUUGAAUCUUUUCAUUUCGAUCUUAUUUUCUUUUCUUUUAAUCUUUUUGCCCUCAUUCUCAUUUCCAUUUCAUAUAACAAGUUCUUCACUUUUCUUUGUCUACAACCAUGGAUGUAAAAUGAGUGCGGUAUAAUAUUGUUGUGCAAUCCUAACUCAAAUGAUAAUACCAACUAAUAUAAAAUAAUUAUUUUAAACCAAUAGUCAUCGGCAGUAGACUUAUAUCUUCUGGACCAAUUAGUAUACCAACAGUGAUCAGGCUAAGGUGAUGAUCCAAUUCCAUGGAAGAGCAUCAAGAAAGGAGGAGGAACGUUGGAGAGAAAGAAGGCGGCCAACCAAGCAGGAACAGUGGCCAAACUGGCCUCGAGCCUGAGGAGCAUAUGAUUGACAGUGUUG